AGCGAACGCUGGCGGCAUGCCUAACACAAGCAAGUCGCACGGGGGGGCUUCGGCCUCCCAGUGGCGGACGGGUGAGGAACGCGUAGGGACCUGUCGAGGGGUGGGGGAUAACCGCGGGAAACUGCGGCUAAUACCGCAUGACGCCGCGGCGUGACAGCCGGGGCCAAAGGCGAAAGCCGCCCGCCGAGGGGCCUGCGUCCGAUUAGCUGGUUGGCGGGGUAGCGGCCCACCAAGGCGUCGAUCGGUAGCUGGUCUGAGAGGGUGAUCAGCCACACCGGGACUGAGACACGGCCCGGACUCCUACGGGAGGCAGCAGUGGGGAAUAUUGGACAAUGGGCGCAAGCCUGAUCCAGCAAUGCCGCGUGGGUGAAGAAGGUCUUCGGAUUGUAAAGCCCUUUCGGCGGGGACGAUGGUGACGGUACCCGCAGAAGAAGCCCCGGCUAACUUCGUG
rnacentral:rRNA from 1 species